UCAUGCAUUUAAUAGGUUUACGGCGGUGGACAGAGUUUGUAAAAAAUGAAGACAAGGAGUAACAAGUACCUGCAAAAAUCAUCCAUCAGCCGGAUAUGUGCUGUCGGAGGGUUUUUCAUUAGCAUUCCCGUCUUUCUAACUGGUAUGAUAUUGUAUACAUUCAUCCAGUUUCAUUCGACGCCGGUGUCACGUAAAAUGGAUACUUGGGUUGCGAGAGAAAAGAAAGCUGAGUCGCAGCCCAACUAUUAA